UACGGAGGAUCCGAGCGUUAUCCGGAUUUACUGGGUUUAAAGGGUGCGUAGGCGGGCGCCUAAGUCAGCGGUGAAAUGCAGCGGCUCAACCGUUGAACUGCCGUUGAAACUGGGCGCCUUGGAUGCGGUCGAGGCCGGCGGAAUGCGUGGUGUAGCGGUGAAAUGCUUAGAUAUCACGCAGAACGCCAAUUGCGAAGGCAGCUGGCCGGGCCGCAAUCGACGCUGAGGCACGAAAGCGUGGGGAU
rnacentral:rRNA from 1 species